rnacentral:lncRNA from 1 species
UUUAGAUUAGAAAAACAGGUUAUAACACUUCAAGAGCGAAAAGAGCUAAACGGCAAUCCCUAGACUUUUCGAUCGGGUUAGUUUAAUUUUCUAAAAGGCUUUAUUCUUAUUAUUGUCCAAGAUGCGCAUCCAUGAUUUGAAAAGGGGAGAGAACAAAUGUGCUACGUAAGUAAUAGAACCUGUAAGAAGUCUAUGCGAUGAGCAUAUGCAUGUAUGUAGCUGCAUAAUGUAAUGCAUCCCCCUUCCCCAUAAUUUCAAAACAAAUGUUAGUCUGAUACACAUCAGGCGCGGAUCCAGAGGAGGGGGGGGGGUUCCGGGGGUUGGAACCCCCCUUUUUUUUGGACGAUCAAUGCAUUUGAAUGGGGACAUGUAAUUGGAACCCCCCCCCUUUUUAAAAUGGCUGGAACCGCCCCUGCACAUAAAUGUCAAGUCAUUGGAAAUUCGAACUUUAAACUUUCUUGUGUUGAUGAAUGGUUGUCCCUGGAUGUGUAUUCUAUUCAUAGCCGUUUUCUGUACGUUAUACCUCCUACAUAAUUUUCUUAAUAUAAUUUAAACACACAGUGGUUCCAUACAAAUAUAUUUAUAAGCUGCAGUAAUCAUUACACGGAAAAUGAUAAUAUGGAGUGCAUAUAUAACACAUUUAACAGUGUCAAAGUAAUAGCAUCUAAUAUUUCCCGCAAUGAUAUAUUUUUGGACUUAUUUUAUUCUAUUGCAAACAAUUUCGUCGACUCGGAUAAAAAAAACCAAAACACAUUUUUUUCCAUAACAUACAAGAACAAGAUUCUUUUUUAAUUUUCUCUUUUACUUGUGUCUACACUGUCACUCAACUGUUAAUUCAGGACGAUCCCUACCUCAGGAUUGUGGUGAGUGAAGCAAAAUCAAAGAAAACAAAUAUAUAGAUAAAAGAAGAUGUGGUAUGAGUGCCAAUGAGAUAACUCUCCAUCAAAGUCACAAUUUGUAAAAGUAAACCUUUAUAGGCCAGAGUACGGCCUUCAACACAGAGCCUUGACUCACAUAUAACAGCAAGAUAAAGAGAGCUAUAAUGCUUUCAAUUACUCUGACCUGUUCAAUGUUUUCAAACUAAGAAAAGCAAACUAAACGAUAACCACGGCGUUGAGUUGUUUCUAGUUCAUGACACAUAUCACAACACUACAAGUAUGUCACUUUAAUUCCCUUCAUAAAACAGCUCUGUGUAAUAGAUGAUUACAAAACUGAUCUAUUGUUUGAUUUGUCACGAUUUGUGAAAUGUAAACCAGUGUGCACUAAAAAAGUAGUUUUAUAACAUCAUUUUAGGGACCACCAACGAGCAAAGGAUACGAAAAUAAUAACAUCGAACUUUCCAUACAUAAGUCAUUGUACGCUGACAAUUAAAACAAGAUAUCUGUUCUGUCUUUUUUAUUUUUCACUCUAUUCAGUCCUGUCUUUUUUAUUUUUCACUCUAUUCAGUCCUGUCUUUUUUAUUUUUCACUCUAUUCAGUCCUGUCUUUUUUUUAAUUUUUCACUCUAUUCAGUCCUGUUUUUUUUAUUUUUCACUCUAUUCAGUCCUGUUUUUUUUAUUUUUCACUCUAUUCAGUCCUGUCUUUUUUUUUUCACCUCUAUCUCUAUCAUUGUCCUGUCUUUUUAUUUUUCAUCACUCUAUUUUUCACUCUCAGUCCUGUUGUUUUUUAUUGUUCACUUACUCUAUUCAGUCCUGUCUUUUUUAUUGUUCACUCUAUUCAGUCCUGUCUUUUUUUUUUAUUUUUCCUUGUUCACUCUACUCAGUUCCUGUCUUUUUUUGUUCAUCACUCUAUUCAUCAUCACUGUUUUUUUAUUGUUCAUUCUCUACUCAGUCCUGUCUUUUUUUUUAUUGUUCACUCUAUUCAGUCCUGUCUUUUUUUAUUUUCACUCUAUUCAGUCCUUCGUCUCUUUUUAUUGUCUUUUUUAUUUUUCACUCUAUUCAGUCCUCUUUUUAUGUCUUUUUUAUUGUUCACUCUACUCAGUCCUGUCUUUUUUAUUUUUCACUCUACUCAGUCCUGUCUUUUUUAUUUUUCACUCUACUCAGUCCUGUCUUUUUUUUUUUUCACUCUAUUCAGUCCUCUAUUCAGUCUUUUUUCACUCUAUUCAGUCCUGUCUUUUUUAUUUUUCACUCUAUUCAGUCCUGUCUUUUUUAUUUUUCACUCUAUUCAGUCCUGUCUUUUUUAUUUUUCACUCUACUCAGUCCUGUUCACUUUUUUUUUUAUCUAUUCAGUCCUGUCUUUUUUCGUUUUUCACGUUAUUUUUUUUUUUAAAAUUGUCAUCUUGUAUUUUUUUUAACCAAGUUGCUCAUCCUGUCUUGAUUUUUACUCGACUCCUGUCUUGCUUUUUCAAUGUUCGUUCUAGCCCCACCCUCUUGAAAUUUUAAAUUUUUAUAUGAAAUUGCUCGAAAAUUCAAAGAAAAAAAUACCUACAUGACUUAUUAUUCGUUUAUUUGUUUUUGGAGGUUUAAAGUUCAACACAAAGUUUAAAGAAAAGUUUUCUAACAAAAACAGAAAAGAAAUAUAAUUAUUUGUAUUUUUGCAAUGAUAUGUAUUCAGAAUAUGCAUGUUCAUUGGUAUUUGAAAUACAGUUCUGGCUGAUUAUAAUAUGUGCAGACAAAGCAACCACCGGCGCAGAGUUCAUAUGCAUUCCUCGUAUGCUUCGCAAUACUUUACGUAAUGUUAAUGAUAGCGUAACGAAGCAUGGAACUGAAUGGAUAUAAAAUAUGCACUAAGAUUGACGCGCAUUGUAUUUUAAACCAACAUUUUUUUUCUUUGCGGUUUCAUUUAAGUGUAUUCAUAUGUUUAUGACUAAACUAUUACAUUAAUGAUGCAAAACGUUAAUUGCAAAUAAAUGUUCAGAAUAAAUAAACAAACUGUUUUUCUCUUACAGAUAAACAAGUGUCAGAAGAAGCGAGGAUAAAAUAAAUAUGUAUCAUAUCAAACCAUGAAUAUGAUAUUGAUUAUGUGAAUAGGAUUUUUUUUUGAUAACUUCGAUCUUAACUCUCAGCUGACAUUGAUUGUAACCUCUUA